UUAAAAUGAUGAAACAAAAUCAGUUCUGCUUCUGACGUUAAUGAAGACAAAUUGGAUAACUGACUU
rnacentral:snoRNA from 1 species